rnacentral:rRNA from 1 species
AAUGGGUCAGCGACUUAUAUUCUGUAGCAAGGUUAACCGAAUAGGGGAGCCGAAGGGAAACCGAGUCUUAACUGGGCGUUAAGUUGCAGGGUAUAGACCCGAAACCCGGUGAUCUAGCCAUGGGCAGGUUGAAGGUUGGGUAACACUAACUGGAGGACCGAACCGACUAAUGUUGAAAAAUUAGCGGAUGACUUGUGGCUGGGGGUGAAAGGCCAAUCAAACCGGGAGAUAGCUGGUUCUCCCCGAAAGCUAUUUAGGUAGCGCCUCGUGAAUUCAUCUCCGGGGGUAGAGCACUGUUUCGGCAAGGGGGUCAUCCCGACUUACCAACCCGAUGCAAACUGCGAAUACCGGAGAAUGUUAUCACGGGAGACACACGGCGGGUGCUAACGUCCGUCGUGAAGAGGGAAACAACCCAGACCGCCAGCUAAGGUCCCAAAGUCAUGGUUAAGUGGGAAACGAUGUGGGAAGGCCCAGACAGCCAGGAUGUUGGCUUAGAAGCAGCCAUCAUUUAAAGAAAGCGUAAUAGCUCACUGGUCGAGUCGGCCUGCGCGGAAGAUGUAACGGGGCUAAACCAUGCACCGAAGCUGCGGCAGCGACGCUUAUGCGUUGUUGGGUAGGGGAGCGUUCUGUAAGCCUGCGAAGGUGU